CUCAACUAAGUAGGCUUAAUGAUUUAAGUUAUCGGAAAGCCCAAAAAAAGGUUAUUCAUUCCAUAAUCUACCUUCUAUUUGGAGCUCAGCCUAAAUUCCUGGUUUUCGGAUUUGAAAAUUUCCCAAAAGUCAUGCAGAGGUUCAUAACAUUUAUUGUCGGUGGAAUAGUUGGAUUUUUGCUUGCCAAAAACACUCGAUAAUUCACAAUGAUCCACAUUCUUUCCUUUGGAAUUGGCGUGGUGUGCGGCAUCUUCGUAUGCCGACGCUGCGAGCCCUAAAUAUUCAAAGAUUUCCUGCAUAUGGGUCAGUUUUAAGGACCUGUGUUCCAUUUUAAAUAAUAAAAUGAGAAGGCUGCUGUAAAACCAAA